rnacentral:rRNA from 1 species
GAAUCGCUAAAAGCCGUCCCAGUUCGGAUUGCAGGCUGCAACCCGCCUGCAUGAAGUUGGAAUCGCUAGUAAUCGCGGAUCAGCAUGCCGCGGUGAAUACGUUCCCGGGCCUUGUACACACCGCCCGUCACACCAUGAGAGUCGGGAACACCCGAAGUCCGUAGCCUGACCGCAAGGGGGGCGCGGCCGAAGGUGGGUUCGAUAAUUGGGGUGAAGUCGUAACAAGGUAAC